GACGAAAGAGGGGGGAACGCCUAACACAUGCAAGUCGAACGGACUUAAAAGAGCUUGCUUUUUUAAGUUAGUGGCGGACGGGUGAGUAACACGUGAGCAACCUGCCUCUGAGAGGGGGAUAGCUUCUGGAAACGGAUGGUAAUACCCCAUAAAAUAUAAAUAUCGCAUGAUAGAUAUAUCAAAGAAAUUCGCUCAGAGAUGGGCUCGCGUCUGAUUAGAUAGUUGGUGAGGUAACGGCUCACCAAGUCGACGAUCAGUAGCCGGACUGAGAGGUUGAACGGCCACAUUGGGACUGAGACACGGCCCAGACUCCUACGGGAGGCAGCAGUGGGGAAUAUUGCACAAUGGAGGGAACUCUGAUGCAGCGAUGCCGCGUGGAGGAAGAAGGUUUUCGGAUUGUAAACUCCUUUUAUCAGGGACGAUAAUGACGGUACCUGAAGAAAAAGCUCCGGCUAACUACGUG
rnacentral:rRNA from 1 species